rnacentral:rRNA from 1 species
UACGUAGGGGGCAAGCGUUGUCCGGAAUUACUGGGCGUAAAGCGUGCGCAGGCGGUUCUAUAAGACAGAUGUGAAAUCCCCGGGCUCAACCUGGGAACUGCAUUUGUGACUGUAGAGCUGGAGUACGGUAGAGGGGGAUGGAAUUCCGCGUGUAGCAGUGAAAUGCGUAGAGAUCAUGAGGAAGACCAGUGGCGAAGGCGGGUCUCUGGACAGUUCCUGACACUGAGACACGAAGGCCAGGGGAGCAAACGGG